CUGUAACAGCCUCCUUGUAAUUAGUGGCUGGCAGCAGCUGGGAUCAGGGUUCGUCCCCCGCAGCUUCACUCAGAGUGUCUGCAACUGGGACACUGCACACAGCCGACCCCUCAAAGCAAAACCCAAUGGCUCCUUCUCAGAUGAACUCAUUUACUGGCUUGACACAGCCCAGCUUGGCCUGAAUUCCCUGGCUUCCGGACGCUUGGCCCAGCUGACUACCAACAACUGUGGAGCUUCCAUCCUUGGCUUGCAGACCUGAAAACAGCCAGAAAUGCCAUUUAAGCCCUUGGCAUCUCAGAAGCAAAGGGAUGGUCUCAAGCCUAAGAAUGUCUGCUUAAAUAGGAUCCCAUCUACUAACAACUUCCUGAGAAGCCAGUGAGUACUCAUUUCAAACAUGCCUCGGGUUCUAGGCUACAUUUUCUUAUAAUAGUAGUUUUUCAAAAACUUUCCUCUAUUAAUGUC
rnacentral:lncRNA from 12 species